GAGUAAUCAUUAAAUACCCAUGAACCUUCCCACCUCGCAGUCCCAGAACAGUCAUCAGUCAUCACUACCUAUUGGCUGCUUUCCCUUUUCAGUUUCCAACACAUUUACUCGACUAUCUACCCUCUCCACCAUCAUCUUUCUUUCACCAAUAACCACCAUUAACAACAUUACAUCAAGUUUGAGCAAGCAAUUUCUCGCUUUCUUUAAAUUCUUAAUAAUUUCUUCUUGCUUCUCUUUUUUUGUGGGUAUUGCCUAUUGGGUUCUAUGAUUUAAUAGUUUUCUUAUAUAAUUGGCUAAUGUUUCUGUUAUCUUACUCUCUUUGCUCUACAGUUUACUGUUCUUUCCUUUAAGGGUUCUUUUUUUUUUUUUUGGGUAUACUUGCUUUCUGGGUCAUUUGUUUUUUCACUAUGUUUGAUUGUCAGAUUGUAACAUUAUAAUUGUAUACUUAUAUUAAAGUUUAUGCUUUCUGAAUUCAAUUGAAUUGAAUUAAGUAUUUGUUGAUGUAGAAUUAACAUUUCUGUGCUAAAUUGAAACUUUAUUGAAAGUUGUUUGAAACUUGAUCUUUGGAGGAGAAAGAACACAACCCAAUUAGCUUGUACCUUUUGAAUGAAAAUCAUUUCCAAAUUUUUGAAUUUUGUUUUGGGUUUUUAGGAUAAUUAGUUUAAUACUGAUGUUUGUUGGAUUGUUCAAUCAUAAAUAGAUCCUUCAUGAAUCAUGGGUCAUAAUAAUGUGGUCCAAGAUGUUGCUGUUUGUUCAUGUCUUCAUUCUUUAAGUGUUGAAUGGGUUUGUAGUUUCAUACUUUUGUAGAUGAGCUUGGUUUCUUUUAGGGUAACAUGAUUCGCUAAUCUCCUCGCGAAUCGCGAAUCGGAAUAAGCGAAUUAUGGUCGGUUUUGGGCUAUUCUUGGGCAAACUUGAGCGAAUAACGAAUUUAAAAAGCGAAUUACUACCGAAUUAUGUUACAUUGGUUUCCUUUAUGGGGUUGAUCAAAUUUUCUCUGAUUUCACCAUGCAGGAUCACAUGAACAUGUUUUGAGAGGGUGGUUUCAGUUUCGGUUAGGAUCAGGUGAUGGGGAGGUAUACACAGGCUGAUGGAAGGAAGUCAUGGAACUAUUCUUCAACCAUGCUUUUAGUUGUAGUUGUUUCCGCUUGCUUAAUAGGAACCUGGAUCACAAUAUCGUCGUUAGUAGAUUCCGCGAAGAAUUUUGAGAUAUCUGUCGGAUUGAUAAAGGAUGUCAAGUUACAAAUGGUGAAUGAAACACAUUCUCGGGAAUUCGAGGCAAAAUUAGGUGACUUUCCUGAGGAUGGUGUAAAUGGGAAUAUCGGCCACAUUAGGGGGAAUGAUAGUCUAGUACAAACUAAGAAUGCAGGGGUAGAAGUAACUGACAGUGGAACUUCUGCUCAGAUUCGGGCUGGGUCAAUGCAAACAGCCGAGUUGGAGAAGCCGAGAGUUACUAAGAAAAUGUCCUUCUUGAAGGAUCAAAAGGGAUACUAUGUAUGGAAACUUUGUAAUGUAACUGCUGGUUCAGACUAUAUUCCUUGCCUUGACAACAUUAAAGCCAUCCGAAAGCUUCCCAGUAUAAGUCAUUAUGAACACAGAGAGAGGCAUUGCCCAGAUCAAGCUCCCACCUGUCUUGUUUCUGUCCCUAAGGGAUAUAAAACCUCACUUCCAUGGCCGAAAAGCAGGGAUAAGAUAUGGUUUGCCAAUGUACCCCAUGUAAAACUUGUUGAAUCCAAGGGACAUCAAAAUUGGGUACAAGUUUCUGGAAGUUACAUUACAUUUCCAGGCGGCGGCACUCAAUUCAAGCACGGUGCAAUGCAUUACAUUGAUUUCAUUCAGAAGACUGUUCCUGAGAUAGCUUGGGGAAAGCGAAGUCGUGUCGUUUUGGAUAUUGGAUGUGGUGUAGCUAGCUUUGGAGGUUAUCUGUUUGACCGAGAAGUACUUACUAUGUCACUAGCUCCUAAGGAUAAGCAUGAAGCGCAAGUGCAAUUCGCACUUGAAAGAGGAAUACCGGCUAUAUCUGCUGUCAUGGGUACAAAAAAAUUACCCUUCCCCAGCAUGUCCUUUGAUGUAGUCCAUUGUGCACGCUGCAGGGUCCCUUGGCAUAUCGAAGGUGGUAAACUGCUUUUGGAACUGGAUCGUGUCUUACGGCCUGGAGGUUAUUUUGUUUGGUCUGCCACUCCAGUUUACCGUAAAGAUCCUGAGGAUACGGCCAUUUGGAAAGCUAUGUCCAAGCUCACAAAGUUGAUGUGCUGGAAGCUUCUAAAAAUCGGGAAGGAUAAAUUGAACGGAGUAGCUGCAGCGAUAUAUAGGAAACCUACUUCUAAUGAUUGCUAUGAGAGCAGAACCGAAAAAAGUCCUCCGCUUUGUCGAGAAUCUGAUGACCCAAGUGCUGUAUGGAAUAUACCAUUACAGGCUUGCACACACAAAGUGCCCAUAGAUCCAUCUGAACGUGGGUAUCAGUCGCCGGCUAAGUGGCCAUCAAGAUUGGAGAAACCACCUUACUGGCUCAAGAGCUCUAAGAUUGUGGUUUAUGGUAAACAAAGUCCUAAAGAUUUCAUUGAUGACUAUCAGCACUGGAAACGGGUUGUGAAAUCGUAUUCUGAUGAUAUUGGCCUUGACUGGUCUUCUGUGAGAAAUGUGAUGGACAUGAAUGCUAUAUAUGGAGGAUUUGCUGCAGCCUUGAAGGAUUUCAAACUUUGGGUGAUGAAUGUUGUUUCUGUCACAUCUCUGGACACUCUCCCGAUCAUAUACGAACGAGGUUUAUUCGGAAUAUAUCACGACUGGUGCGAGUCAUUCAGCACUUAUCCUAGAUCAUACGAUCUUCUUCACGCAAAUUACCUUUUCUCCGAUCUUAAAAAAAGGUGUAACUUUGUGGCAGUAAUGGCUGAAGUAGACAGAAUCCUAAGGCCAGGAGGAUGUCUGAUAGCAAAAGAUGACGCGGAAACCAUAGCCGAGUUGGAGAGUUUGGCUAAAUCGUUACAAUGGAAGAUCAGAUUCACAUUUUCGAAAGAUAAUGAAACGAUUCUGCGUGUUGAAAAGACAAGAUGGCGUCCCUCUGAUGUAGAAACUAUAGCAUCAGCUAUUGCUUAAGCUUGGAUAGUUCUUAAGAGGUUAGGAUAGAUCCUAUGGUAGUAUGAGAGAAUUGAAUAUUCUAUCUUGAAUUUAAGGAGACUGUCUCAGUGUAACAUAAUUGGCCAGCUGAUUUGCCUUUUGAUUUCGGGAUUCGGCCAAAACCGAUCAUAAUUCGCUUUUUUCGAUUUGCGAUUUGCGAGGAGCUCAACGAAUCAUGUGGCACUCUCCGUCUCAUUAGGGUUUAUCAAACUUAGCAUCAUCUGAAUGUUUGGAGAGCCUCUUCUUAGGCAAGUUAGAAAGGUCAAUGGAGAUGGAAUUGUCGUUCUGGUUUUUUGAAGGUGUUCGUUCUUGGAAGGACAUACCAGAAAGAUUGCUAGGAACCGUGCUCGUAGGGUGUAGCUGGUGGGGGAGAUAGAUGCAGAUUACAGAACCCAAUCGCGUAUAUAAGCAGAUUGCAAAGUCUACUUGACAAUCAUCAUACAUGAACAUAAUUUAUGGUAUUCUCUUCUUUAUAAGUUCAUUGUGCACUAACACUAAAGUUACGCGUUUUCUUAUUCGAGUAAUCUCUUUAAUUUAAUUGGUGAAUGACGGAGUUUAGAACAAUUAGAGAUGUAGAAGGGUUUUACAUAAGAAAAGAAGAGAAGAAAGAAUGGGAAUACAAAGAACGCGUAAAAACAGAAGAAAUAUAUGAAAAUAUAUUUGAAAUUACCAAC